CUGCAAGUCGAGCGACAGACGAGGAGCUUGCUCCUUUGACGUUAGCGGCGGACGGGUGAGUAACACGUAGGUAACCUACCUAUAAGACUGGGAUAACUUCGGGAAACCGGAGCUAAUACCGGAUAAUAUUUCGAACCGCAUGGUUCGAUAGUGAAAGAUGGCUUUGCUAUCACUUAUAGAUGGACCUGCGCCGUAUUAGCUAGUUGGUAAGGUAACGGCUUACCAAGGCAACGAUACGUAGCCGACCUGAGAGGGUGAUCGGCCACACUGGAACUGAGACACGGUCCAGACUCCUACGGGAGGCAGCAGUAGGGAAUCUUCCGCAAUGGGCGAAAGCCUGACGGAGCAACGCCGCGUGAGUGAUGAAGGUCUUCGGAUCGUAAAACUCUGUUAUUAGGGAAGAACAAACGUGUAAGUAACUGUGCACGUCUUGACGGUACCUAAUCAGAAAGCCACGGCUAACUACGUGCCAGCAGCCGCGGUAAUACGUAGGUGGCAAGCGUUAUCCGGAAUUAUUGGGCGUAAAGCGCGCGUAGGCGGUUUUUUAAGUCUGAUGUGAAAGCCCACGGCUCAACCGUGGAGGGUCAUUGGAAACUGGAAAACUUGAGUGCAGAAGAGGAAAGUGGAAUUCCAUGUGUAGCGGUGAAAUGCGCAGAGAUAUGGAGGAACACCAGUGGCGAAGGCGACUUUCUGGUCUGUAACUGACNCUGAUGUGAGAAAGUUUUUCG
rnacentral:rRNA from 1 species